rnacentral:lncRNA from 1 species
UAUUUCCCACUACUUGAUUUUAUUUUCAUCUUAUUAUUUUCAUUUUUUUUCCAUUUAUUUUUGCCAUUUAUAAUUUGAUUUUUAAUUCAUUUAUUUCAUUUUGUCUUAAUUAGAUUUUUCUUUUAUUUUUACUACUUUAUUUUGAUAUUCUAGCAUUGAUAAAUUGGACACUUCAUCACCUUUUAUUCUUGUAAUUCAAUUGCUUGCAAUCUAACUCCUAACUACUAACUCU